AGUGAGUUUUUUACGGUGACACGUUUUGUUGUGCAUGACAACCACCGACGAGGGACGACAUUGCAGGCCCCUAUAGUGUUCCGCACUUAAAAUAGAACAGCCUUUGGUAUCAAAACUUGGCAUUCUGUCGUAAACAAGAGAAUGUAUUGGUUUCAACUUGCUUAGGGCCGCCGCGAUAUCGUGUUCUGAGAAACAUAAAAUGUGGAAAUGGCCACUGAAACUCCAGUGCCAGUCACUAAAACUCUCUGCAGGGAAUGAAUGCUUCCAAAGUAUGUUUUACAGUAUCAGUAAACAUGCUAACUGCUAUGUCAAUAUCUGUGACGCAAUACUAUUCAGACCAGUCAGCAUCAUUCAAAUAGUAGUAAAGACCUAGAUAGUCGCCUUUCAGAAAAAAAAGAGUGAACAGGCUUGCUCAACACAUGAAUCAACUCUCGAAAAAUUGUGAAUGCGAGCGGGUCAACAGGAACUAAACCGCUAACAGCAACAGAAUACUCAACACCAAAGAAAUUAGCCAGAAUCAGAUCUAAAACAUUUCCAGCGGCAUUUGGAACAGUGUCAAACUGUUAAUCCGAGAAAUUCGAUAAAGAACAGCGCGUCACAGCGAGGGGAUCAAGAUACGGAUGUCGCACGUGAAGAAUCCCAAACACUGGACGGAACAUUGAAAUCUCCAGCUACGAGGAUAUUAUAUUUUGCAACGUCAAUAGCUUCAACUAAGUUAUUCAUAUGCUCAGAAAACCGCACGUUACUUAUGGUAAGAGGGAAGUAGGCUGCGCCGAGCCACAAAACUUUGCCGCUCUUAACAGGAAUGUCAACCAACACAGUUUCUGGUACAUUCUCAAUGUCCGCUCGCCUUAAAACGGACUUUUCCGCACGGUAAUUAGCGCACCGCCGCCGUAUUUAACGCGCGCAUCAUACACGCGGUCAGAUCUGUAAACUGUGCAUGCCAGUGGAAAUUAAUGCUUAGUAAGUCGUUGGGGGGGGGGGGGGGGCAAAGCCAAGCUUACGUUAAGAAAAUAACAUGGUAUGAGCAGGCUAUCACGUUCUCGUAGAAAUGGGAAGAUUUCGUGCGUGGACUACGAACAUUUUGGUCAAAAAACUUAGCACUUCAUGAACGAGGUUAGAAAGGAAAUUACGUUAUUUUGUCGCUGGCAUCCAUGAAUGCGUCAUGCCUGCCGUAGAAAGGCUUGAACAGGCAACCCUUCGACCAAAUAUUUCCCGAGUUUAUUUAGAUAGCUGUCCGCUGUACUUUCGGACAUAGUCGUGUUUUUGUUUGGCAAAAGGUGAAAGAGCACGUCGCAAUAGGAACGCAGAUAUAAUUUCAUGGGGAUUGCACCGGACUAACGCCAACGAAAAAAAAGUACGGUGUUUUAACUCGCCCUGUCCCUAAGGCCUGGUACAAUAGCGACGUGCUUGCUUAGCUAAAUGGUGGAGCACAAAUAGCUGGCGCUGUGUAUCAUAAUACCGUUGGAUGCGAAUGUCGUAUUCCGAAGCAACUGUUUCAUAUCGUACACUCAUGGCCCACCCAAAAUUACGCAUCUAUUUUCUUUGUCACAGUUAUGAUAUAGCUGACCCCCCUAAAUACUAGCCCGAUUUCUAAGUAAAUCUCGUAACAGCAAUGGGACUCUAAAGGCACACUAAAGAUAAAAAUAUUUUUACCUGUAUUAAUAAAGCAGUCUUUCACCAUCCCCGAAAAGCUACACGUCUACCACAAGAGCAGGCUUAGUAAACCAGAAAUCGCACGAAAAAGAAAGACUAGUGGCGACGCUGCUUUGAAGUUCCCGCACUAGCUCGCCGUGAUGCCAUAUAUUUUCAUGGCGUCCGGUCGGAUCUAUUGGUAACUGUUUAUCUGUGAAGAUGAAAUACGUUGUAUUCUAAAGGAGCCGAAGACCGAACUUGGCAAGCUUCGUGAACUUUUAUUGAGCCAUGAAGACCAAAAUACGAAAAAAAAGAUACUUUGAAAUUUGUUACGUUACACUGGCGAGAAAUUUAAGAAAUAGGUCUUCGACUUUUUUUUUUCUACUGAUAAUAAACAUACUACGACGAAAUUAGGGAAAACUGAGUUUGAAAGAAUACUUACACUGUAUUCACACAUUUAGUGCUUCUCCUUUUACUUAAGUUUGGUGUAUCCUCCUGCAGGCCUGAAGGAAGGUGAGGGACAUAAACGCUUUUACUUUGUUUUUUUUUUUCAUUUCUUAAUGAUUUUGUGGCUUAAACAUCGACCUAAAUUUAUGGGGUCUUGCGUGGAAUGACCAAGAUCUGAUUAUGAGACAUGGCUUAAACAAGGACAUGAAGAUGCAACAUCAUGCGACGGAUUGGCAUCCUAAUGCUACAACCGAGAUUUUUAUGUCGUCUCGAAUGAUAAUUGUAUUCCGAUGUUCAACAUGGCUUUGCCUUCUAUCCUUGUUUUGAAGGUUUCUGCAGAGCACGAUAUUUUUUUCAGAUUCAGAUUUUAUUAGUUCCAAAAAAGUUGUUACAUCAAAUGUAUACCGACAAGUUCAUGCUGAAAGUUCAUGAAAGUUCAUGUUCAACCUUUUGCUGGAACUAGACGUCAAUAAGUUUCCUGCCCUGGAUGAUAUAUCAAAUGCUUUUCUUUAAAGGUAUGCAGAAUGGUGUGCAAAGUAUUUAUUUAUAUUGUUUCAUAUGUCUCUGAACGAUAGUGGUUGGCCACAGGACUCGGCCGGAAUCAUACCAUGACAAAAAUCCCAUGACAAGUCAAGGAUUGAAAAUUACCGACCAAUUUAUUAAACCUACUUCUUGUAAAAUCUUCGAGCAUAUAUGCUAUUUGUAAACAUACAUUUGAUUUUCUUGAAUGAACCAAAGUGCUAACAAAUGCAUACCACGGCGUUAGACGCGGUUAACUAACAAGCAUGGCCACUGGAUAAAAAAAAAAGUGUGGUCUGCCACGUCAGGCGGGCUGCAAUGGCAGCGAAUGUGACAGCCGUAGUUGCAUUCUAUGCCGCUUGGCUGGCCCGAACGACGCUAGCUGACGGGGAUGGGACGCGUCGGCUUCCACGGGUGACGGUGUUUUGAGUUAUGAGCGCGUUCCUGACGUAUUUUCUAAGCUGAUCCCAGACAACAGUUCCCGACUGGUGGCGACGUGGUGGAUGACGCCGUUUUCGAUGCACGCGGCAGGUGGCAAUUUUUUUUUAUCCAGCGGCCGUGUAACAACAAUUGGAAUUACGCCCGAAUUUUCAGUCGCAAUAAAUAAAGGAAAACAAACAGACGUUAUUUACAUGGACUUUUGUAACGCAAUCGAUAGUCUCGUACAGUAAAGUGCUUCACAAAUGAAGGUUUACAAUAAGAAAUCACACACUACCCUCCAUGGAUUAGAGCUACUCAAACAGCGUUGGUGUUCAUUCUGGCGUUCUCCGGGGGUACGUGCUUGGUCCUCUAAUGUUUUAAUUUUAGCAAAGUUCUGCCAAAAUUCUUCUUCUUAAGACGCUAUUUGAAAUUAUCCACACGUACUCUACGUCUGCUUGCAUAUCAGUUUAUUCUAUGUCGAAUGCUCGAGUACAGAGUACUCAUUUGGUAUCCAUACACCAAGACUAGGGGUGUGCGAAUAUUCGAAAAUUUCAAAUGAAAAAGUGGAGAUUGUCCUAUUCGAUUAUAUAGGUGCUUUAAUUGAAUAUUCACUAUUUGAAAAAAACGAAUAUUUAUUGAAUACAUUUCAAAUAAUUAACUUCGCCGACUCUACACAAUCAAACAUGAAAAUGAAGCAAAUAUACGAUAGUUUUUAUCCCAUCCACUGGGGAGGCAACGUACCAGAGCACGCCACACUUUUCCUGCUAAACACCAUCACUCGAAAUAAAAUGUUUAGACAGGGUAUUCCGGUGGUGAGUGGGUAUUGUUUGGUACUGCAGUCGUCAAAUCUCGUUCUUACAAAGUCGAACCUGACACAAGAAUAGCUUCGUUAUAUCCGAUAAUCGUUAUAUAAACUUUUGCGGCGCUAGGUGUUGUCUCGAGUCCGGCAUUAUUUGGUAGCGUGGCGGAGGCUUCGGGAUGAAGAAAUCCCAAGCUCGGAAGUUUGUAAAGAGAAAACAAACAUGCUUACUGGUACUUGUAUACAACUUAUUUACACGCUCGAAUAAUUAAAACAGAAAAGUUCAAAUGUUUCGCAACGAGCGUCUGGAUGAGCCUUGUUUCCAUGGCCCAAAGCACCUUUUUCUUCUCCGCACUGUCAUUAUAACACCUGUUCAAAACCCUCGCUCCUGGCGGUAGCCAAUCACGCACAGGUCACAACCCACCAGGACGAUAGCCAAUCAAGAAGCACAAACACUCUCCCAGACGGACUGUCAGUGGGCGACACCGCAAAGAUCCAGCGGGCGCAAAGGCGCAGGGAAAGGCUGGCCGCGGGAAUGGGAGAGGAAAUCUUUUUCUUCGAACUACUAAGUCGUUCGUUAUGAGAAAGGAAAGGUUGCCGCUAUCUUCUGCAGCCCACGAGGGAGCACCGCUCAGCGCCAGUUUCUUCGAACUGGUUUCCUCCGCUGCUUCUCGGUAAGACAGGCGUCCCUUCGCGUCGUUCCUGCCUCCGCCGGAGCGUCAACUCUCUCUUCCCUUUGUGGCACUUCUUCCUUGACGGGGGGAGCUCGUUUCGGGAGAAUUAGCAGCGCCCAGCAUUGCGUGAGAACGGUUCUCCGACUAUCUUCCCAGCGUGGUUCCCAUAUUCCAAUGUGGCGCGUGACAAACAGCAUGUUGUCUACUGCAGUCACAAUAGCUUCCAGCAUUGCGUGGGAACUGUCCUCCGACUAUCUUUCCAACGUUGUUCUUGCAUUCCACUCUGGCACGUGGCAAACAGCAUGUUGCUACUACAGUCAUAACAAAACACAUAUCUGUUGCACUGUAAUAGCGUUAAGGUGACUUUUUAUUUACUUCGUUAUAUCCAAUAAGUCGCCAUAUCUGUAUACGUUAUAUUGAGGUUCGACUGUAUUUAUAGAUGCGGCGCUCUCAUCGAAUUAAAUUAAAAUACGUUUCAUUGCAACAUACUUCAUACAACAGUGACUGUGGUUAAAUGACAGGACCUCUGUUGUGCGUUCGCAAUCGCAGAGAGUUGGCCGCCUUUUUCUAACGUGUUACCGAAAACAAAGACAUUUCUUGACUUCGUUAUACAAGCAUUCGACUGCAUACAACUAGUUGGUCCUCACGAAGUGCUUGAGACCUCCAAAAUCUUCCGUUAUACCGGUCACUUCGUUGUAUAAAGAUCGCACACCGUAUUGCUCACAAUAGAGCAGGCUAAGCACGCUGAACAAAAGAAAACCUUAAUUUAACACGAAUUCAAGAGAGACUUAGGGAAAUAAAUUGCUAAUUUAUUUCACACUUCGUCUGACGCAAUAUUCCGCUGCAUCCGACCUUAUUGCACCGAGGUUCCUAGCAUGUUCCGCGGCGCCGCGCAGGAGCUGCGCAAAGCGAGGCUGUAGAUCGUCGAAUGCCGCCAUCGCCUCCCUUUCCGUCAAAAUUCUUGGUUCGUUUAGACUCUUCACCAUCGGCAACAUUCGCGUCCUUUCCGUUCUGGGUCACUUUGAAGACGUCAUUGGUCGCCAGAUAUAAUUACAUUAUCACGUCACUAUGACCUUUCACGUAUUCGUCAGCCGUCGCACCCGCGGCUAUGUUACAAGCAGCGUACCAGAUAAAGAGAUUCCUGGAACAGUGAAGCAAGUCUGUAAUGCUUGCUCACAUUGGUACGCUCAUCAAGUGCGUCGCUAGAGCUGCCGUUAGCGCUAGCGCAGAGCGCAGCUCAACGGCGUCUGCGGAGGGAAGUGGCGGCACCGCUAUGUGGCAUUCGUUGAAAAGCCACAAAUCAGCCGUCAUAGACUCACCAUGGGUUCCUUCGUUUUGCAGGCAAACUUGUUGCGCGGGUCUUCGUUGGAGAGGCGUUCACAAUACAUAUGAAACGUAGCAAUUAGGCCGGGACAUAAUCCUUCGUUAUACAGGUCAUAUCGUUUUAUAGGCGCUUGACUGUACUCAGUGAAGUGAUCACGUUGCCGCCGUUGUGUGCCCCCUUCCUUUCAAGUGAUCCGCUCUUCCUGGAGGAAGGGUUUCCGGAGGGCGUGGCUUCCGACCUCCGGCGCAGGGGUCACCGCAUAGAACCAGGCUUUGUGUCUCGUUAUGAUCGGAGCACCAGAAGCAUGGCCCAUAUCGUCACACGAGGCAGCUGGUGGGACCGCACUUCCAAGUGUGCGGUCCAGGAAGUGGCGCCCGUCCUGUGGUUCGGCUGCGAGCCUCGGAGCGACGGUAUGGCAGCCGCGGCACCGCCUGAAGAUGUACACUGAAGACCGCGGCGUGCGCGCUGUGUUGCUGCGGUACUCGCAUCAGAAAGCCUCAGACGAGCGGUGCAGUCAUGGUCACAUCCGCGUCUUCGCCGUCGAGCUUCAGGCGUUGCAUGAAUGACAUAACGUCACAUAGUUAAUGAAGACGACUGGGCUAGUUCGCGCAAUUUGGAAGGCUCGGACAAAAUUAAGCGCACUAAAGGACAACGAACUAAAAGAAACAGGCCAUAAAGGGCGAUAACUUCAACAGGAACUAAGCGGCUGUGGAAAGCGUCUUCGUACCGCACAUCGUAUUCGCAAUAUUAAUCACAAGAGCGGUAGUGGGAGGUGAACAAACAGGCUGGGACAAUUAUAUAUGUAUAGACUAGAAAGUAACAUAGAUUGAUAACAGUGACAGAGCGAUUGACACAUGCAAGUACGCCCAUUCACUCACAGCAAUCGCAUAGCCCUGGUGAAGUUUGCGCUCUGCCCGGUCUGUUUCUUCUAUUCCAUUGCCUUUAUCGCGGUUCAUUUUGUUUCAGCCUAUGUCAUAUAGCGCAGGCACACAGCUGGAGUAUUGCGCGUGGACCGGAACUUUGCGUGGAAUACGUUCGUAGCAUAUACUACCAACUUAUAGGGCAAGUAAAAUUAAAAAAAAAAAUUAAACUUCCGGGAACUGUUAGUCGCUGAAAAAACGUAAACCCACAUAUCCAAGUUUUUACACUAGCGUUAUCUGUGGUUCAAAGCCACGUAUAUAGUUUUGCGUCGGUUUGCUUCAACCGUGAACUCUUGUUUCGCUGAAGAUUCUCUGGCACCUCUUUCUCUAAUAAAUCGAUUUGUGCUCGACGUGGUGCUGAACGUAUGCAGAGGCGGAUCCUGGGAAAUAAAGUAAACACCACAGCUUGAGGAUACUUGCGAAUUGACCUUUCUUAUCGAAAUCUCCACGUAAUGAUGUUGUGCCUAUGACCAGUGGUAGGAAGUUUACGUAGCGUUAGGCAUAUGAUGUUUAUAGUAUGUACCUACUUGCAAGAUCACCGGAUAUUUUAUAGGUACACUCUUCUAUGGGUCCAGUAGCAACUUCCUUCCGAAAAACACUUCAAGUCAGCGUUAGGUUUGGUGUAUUAAAGGGGAGCCUAUAACGUCAGGCUUCAUUGCACCAAUAAAGUGGAUAUGACAAUAAGAAACGCUUGUCUGACUUGAAGAAGCAAAAUUACGCAUUGGCAUGUUGUUGCGAUGGUCUGGAAGAUGUCGAGACCCUGCAAGCUAUAGUAUAGUCUGUAUAUACCGAUUGGCCUUCCGUACGAUGCUCCGUCAGCACGGUAAAGUUUGCCACUGCUAGGUGCAGUUUCACAGCACGCAUGUUCUGUGUACACGUAUAAAGAUGUAAAAUGUAGAUUGGUAUGCGAGGCCUAUUUUUGCAUACGAGAAGUUGAUAACUGUAUCAGCACACUUUCUACCGGGAUCUCGAGUAAAUAUUAUUACGAUAGUACUCGAGCAAGGGGAUGCGUGAUGGGCGAUUUGAGUGAUGUGUCGCGCAUUGCUUUAUUGUUAUGCGCGAGUGCGAACUUCCAUGCAUGUAAUCAUUUGUACAGUAAAGCCAGAUGAUGUCUAGCA